UACGGAGGGGGCUAGCGUUGUUCGGAAUUACUGGGCGUAAAGCGCACGUAGGCGGCUUUGUAUGUUAGAGGUGAAAGCCCGGGGCUCAACUCCGGAAUUGCCUUUAAGACUGCAUCGCUAGAAUUGUGGAGAGGUAAGUGGAAUUCCGGGUGUAGAGGUGAAAUUCGUAGAUAUUCGGAAGAACACCAGUGGCGAAGGCGUCUUACUGGACACAUAUUG
rnacentral:rRNA from 1 species